rnacentral:rRNA from 1 species
UACGUAGGGUGCAAGCGUUAAUCGGAAUUACUGGGCGUAAAGCGUGCGCAGGCGGUUGUGCAAGACAGAUGUGAAAUCCCCGGGCUUAACCUGGGAAUUGCAUUUGUGACUGCACGGCUAGAGUGUGUCAGAGGGGGGUAGAAUUCCACGUGUAGCAGUGAAAUGCGUAGAGAUGUGGAGGAAUACCGAUGGCGAAGGCAGCCCCCCUGGGAUAACACUGACGCUCAUGCACGAAAGCGUGGGGAGCAAACAGG